CUCCCAGCCUACAUCUUCCUCCCAUGCUGGUUGCUUCCUGCCCUCAAAUAUCAGACUCCAGGUUAUUCAGCUUGGGGACUCAGACUUGCUCCUUGCUCCUCAGCUUGCAGCCAGCCUAUUAUGGGACCUCAUCUUGUGAUCGUGAUUCCCCAGGAUCAACCAUCUGAGCAGAUACCUUGGAAUGUCCCCAGAUUUCAGAGCCUCGGACCAGCAGCAACACACUCUGAAGUAGGUCUCAGAAGACAAAAAGCUGAAAUCAACUCAUGCUUCCUGCUACACAGAAUCCACUGAGAGGAAAAGGAAACUUCACCGAAACUUCAGAAAGCUACAGAAAUGACAUCCAUUUUCACAAUCCCAGAAGGAAAGAUGCAUCUGAAGGGAAUAAAAACAGAGCAAUGGAAGAGUAUUUGUUAAAAUAAAUGGCUUUGACAGGGCAUUUUCUCUAAAGGUCUCCUUUGCCUCAAAUAGUACUCCUGCCUUCAGUCCAUCUUGCAUGCCACCCAGCUGUGGGCAUCCUGGCAGUUGCUGCCAUGUCCUUGCCUAAAAGCCUCCACCCCCAACCAACCCACC
rnacentral:lncRNA from 1 species